UGGGUUCAAUACCCAGAAGAAAGGAAAGAAAGAAAGAAAGAAAGAAAGAAAGAAAGAAAGAAAGAAAGAAAGAAUUGUACUGAGAAUAUUGUAUGUGAUAGGCAUCUGGGCUCUGAGAGUGAGGUUAUGGCACUCUCUCUAACUUCAAGAUGCUCAUCUUCCUUAGGGGAGGCAGAGAGGUCCUUUGUACUCCUACAUAACUUUUUAAUUUCAAUAUCCAACUCUUCAUUUAUGGUCUAAAUGCAACAGAACCAACUUACCACGGACUGAAACUUCCAGAACGGUCAUUAGAGCGCGCUGAAUCCAACACGACACAGACACUCCACGAGAGGACCACGUGAGAACACAGGGAGAAGACAGCCAUCUACCAGAGACUCAGGAAAAAACAACCCCUGACACCUUCAUCUUACUUUAACAUUCUGACGUUUGAGAAAAUAAAUUUCUAUUAUUUAAGC
rnacentral:lncRNA from 1 species